UACGGAGGGGGCUAGCGUUGUUCGGAAUUACUGGGCGUAAAUCGCGCGUAGGCGGCUUUGUAAGUUAGAGGUGAAAGCCCGGAGCUUAACUCCGGAACUGCCUUUAAGACUGCAUCGCUAGAAUCGUGGAGAGGUGAGUGGAAUUCCGAGUGUAGAGGUGAAAUUCGUAGAUAUCAGGAGGAACACCGGUGGCGAAGGCGGCUCUCUGGACCACAACUGACGCUGAGGCGCGAAAGCUAGGGGGAGCAAACAGG
rnacentral:rRNA from 1 species